GUGGAUGGCUCAAUGUGAGCAGAAGCCCAUGUGCAGGGGAAUACCUGGGAAGCCGAAGCAGUCCAUGAGGCUGGAGCCCAGAUUUCUGUGUUUCUGUGUUGGUCACUGGCAAUCUGCAAUCUGAAGUGGGAGGCUGGGCCAUAUUAAGAGCUGGAAGACGAUUACUUUGUUAGCCUAAUAUAAUUUAUUAGGCUCAUCGCUAAUACUACUUGGAAAACUAUGAAAUAAGACAAAAUAAAAUUACUUAUAAGCAAUUUCUCUUA